CGGCGUGCCUAAUACAUGCAAGUCGAACGGUCUUUCUAUGGAAGCUUGCUUCCACUGAGAAGAUAGUGGCGAACGGGUGAGUAACACGUGGGUAACCUGCCCAUAAGAGGGGGAUAACAUCCGGAAACGGGUGCUAAUACCGCAUAGUUUUCUUGAUCGCAUGAUCGGGAAAGGAAAGACGGCCUUUGUGCUGUCGCUUAUGGAUGGACCCGCGGCGUAUUAGUUAGUUGGUGAGGUAAUGGCUCACCAAGACGAUGAUACGUAGCCGACCUGAGAGGGUGAUCGGCCACAUUGGGACUGAGACACGGCCCAAACUCCUACGGGAGGCAGCAGUAGGGAAUCUUCCGCAAUGGACGAAAGUCUGACGGAGCAACGCCGCGUGAGUGAAGAAAAGGUUUUCGGAUCGUAAAACUCUGUUGUCAGAGAAGAACAAGUUGGAGAGUAACUGCUCCAGCCUUGACGGUAUCUGACCAGAAAGCCACGGCUAACUACGUGCCAGCAGCCGC
rnacentral:rRNA from 1 species